AGAGUUUGAUUAUGGCUCAGGAUGAACGCUAGCUACAGGCUUAACACAUGCAAGUCGAGGGGCAGCGAGAAGGAAGCUUGCUUCUUGUCGGCGACCGGCGCACGGGUGAGUAACGCGUAUCCAACCUUCCCCUUAGUAGGGCAUAGCCCGUAGAAAUGCGGAUUAAUACCCUAUGUUGUUCGAUGCGGACAUCUAAGUUGAACCAAAGGUUUACCGCUAAGGGAUGGGGAUGCGUCCGAUUAGGCAGCAGGCGGGGUAACGGCCCACCUGGCCGACGAUCGGUAGGGGUUCUGAGAGGAAGGUCCCCCACAUUGGAACUGAGACACGGUCCAAACUCCUACGGGAGGCAGCAGUGAGGAAUAUUGGUCAAUGGGCGCGAGCCUGAACCAGCCAAGUAAGCGUGCAGGACGACGGCCCUAUGGGUUGUAAACUGCUUUUAUGCGGGGAUAAAGUUCACUACGUGUAGUGUUUUGUAGGUACCGCAUGAAUAAGGACCGGCUAAUUCCGUGCCAGCCGCGGC
rnacentral:rRNA from 1 species